rnacentral:rRNA from 1 species
CCUACGGGAGGCAGCAGUGAGGAAUAUUGGUCAAUGGACGCAAGUCUGAACCAGCCAUGCCGCGUGCAGGAAGACGGCUCUAUGAGUUGUAAACUGCUUUUGUACGAGGGUAAACGCAUAUACGCGUAUCUGUCUGAAAGUAUCGUACGAAUAAGGAUCGGCUAACUCCGUGCCAGCAGCCGCGGUAAUACGGAGGAUUCAAGCGUUAUCCGGAUUUAUUGGGUUUAAAGGGUGCGUAGGCGGUCGGAUAAGUUAGAGGUGAAAGCCCGAGGCUCAACUUCGGAAUUGCCGCUGAUACUGGUCGGCUAGAGAGUAGUUGCGGUAGGCGGAAUGUAUGGUGUAGCGGUGAAAUGCUUAGAGAUCAUAAAGAACACCGAUUGCGAAGGCAGCUUACCAAGCUACUUCUGACGUUGAGGCACGAAAGCGUGGGGAGCAAACAGGAUUAGAUACCCCUGUAGUC